rnacentral:rRNA from 2 species
GAUGAACGCUAGCGGCAGGCCUAACACAUGCAAGUCGAGGGACCGGCGAACGGGUGCGUAACGCGUGAACAACUUGCCGGACACAGGGGGAUAAUCGUCGGAAACGUCGUCUAAUAUCCCAUAACGAAAGGCGGUGUCUGAUAGGUUCGCGUGACAUUAGCUAGUCGGUGGGGCAACGGCCCACCGAGGCGACGAUGUCUAGGGGUUCUGAGAGGAAGGCCCCCCACACUGGGACUGAGACACGGCCCAGACUCCUACGGGAGGCAGCAGUGAGGGAUAUUGGACAAUGGGCGGAAGCCUGAUCCAGCCAUGCCGCGUGAAGGAAUAAGGCCUAUGGGUCGUAAACUUCUUUUGACGCAGAGCAUGAGAGUAUGCGUCGAAUAAGCAUCGGCUAACUCCGUGCCAGCAGCCGCGGUAAUACGGAGGAUGCGAGCGUUAUCCGGAUUUAUUGGGUUUAAAGGGUGCGUAGGCUGUUGGAUAAGUCAGCGGUGAAAUCACCACGCUUAACGUGUUGUGUGCCGUUGAAACUGUCUGGCUUGAAUGCGCUCGUCGUGAGAGGAAUGUGUGGUGUAGCGGUGAAAUGCAUAGAUAUCACACAGAACACCGAUUGCGAAGGCAUCUCACGAGAGCGAUUGACGCUGAUGCACGAAAGCGCGGGUAUCGAACAGGAUUAGAUACCCUGGUAGUCCGCGCUGUAAACGAUGAUGACUAACUGUUGGUUGAUCAGUGGUCAAGCGAAAGCGUUAAGUCAUCCACCUGGGGAGUACGGCCGCAAAGCUGAAACUCAAAGGAAUUGACGGGGGCCCGCACAAGCGGAGGAACAUGUGGUUUAAUUCGAUGAUACGCGAGGAACCUUACCCGGGCUCGAACGGUCGAGGUGCUGCAUGGUUGUCGUCAGCUCGUGCCGUGAGGUGUCGGCUUAAGUGCCAUAACGAGCGCAACCCUUGCCGUCAGUUGCCAUCAGCUGGGGACUCUGUCGGGACUGCCACCGCAAGGUGGAGGAAGGGGGGGAUGACGUCAAAUCAGCACGGCCCCUACGUCCGGGGCUACACACGUGUUACAAUGGCGACCAGAGGGGUGCCACCCGGUGACGGGGCGCCGAUCUCCGUCGUCUCAGUUCGGAUGGAGUCUGCAACCCGACUCCAGAAGCUGGAUUCGCUAGUAAUCGCACAUCAGCCAUGGUGCGGUGAAUACGUUCCCGGGCCUUGUACACACCGCCCGUCAAGCCAUGAGAGCCAGGGGCGCCUGAAGCGCGUACCGGAGCGUUCAAGGGCGAACCAGGUGAUUGGGGC